rnacentral:rRNA from 1 species
UACGUAGGGGGCGAGCGUUAUCCGGAUUUACUGGGUGUAAAGGGAGCGUAGACGGCAAUGCAAGCCAGGAGUGAAACCCCGGGGCUCAACCUCGGGCAUGCUCUUGGAACUGUAAAGCUAGAGUGCGGGAGGGGCAGGCGGAAUUCCUGGUGUAGCGGUGAAAUGCGUAGAUAUCAGGAGGAACACCGGCGGCGAAGGCGGCCUGCUGGACCGCGACUGACGUUGAGGCUCGAAAGCGUGGGGAGCGAACAGG